CGCCAAAGAUGGUUCGCCACCUAAAUCUUUGAGAUACAUUGGAAGUUGUAGUUUAUGCAAUGGCUAGAUGGCAGAAGCGUUAACAAGGUACUAUGUCAUCAUCUACCAUGUUUCACCUCUCUGCUCCAGGACGACAGGAAUAACAACUCAAUUCCUCUUGUUUGAGUAGCAGCGGCGCAGGAGUUGUUUUGUCGCUGCAACAGCAACAAUGCAUGUCAUCAUUAGCUUAGGUAGGUAAGCAGAUAAGCACUCCAGCAAGGAUUCAGUCAGUGUAUGAAGUAAAAUGCUACUUCUAUGUGGAUGAGAAGAUCAGAACGAUAUAUGGAUGAGAAGAGCAGAACGAUGAGAUGAGAAGAACUACUUUAUGUGGAUGUUCUGUCUAUGAAGUAAAAUGCUACCUUUUACAGGGAUUUCACCUUGGCUUGCCCUGUUUUGGUGAAGAAACAAUGUUGUUUUGAAUCA